rnacentral:tRNA from 1 species
GUGUAGCUCAGUGGUAGAGCACUUACUUAGCAUGUAUGAGGCCCUGGGUUUGUUCCUCAGCAC